CAACCUGUCACUACUUAUUUUGAGGUCAUAUUUGUUUCUAAUACCAAUGUCAUCAUUUACCUGUUUUGCCAGAUCCACUUUCUCCUGUUAUCAGAAUACAUUGAUCCUUGUUGUGAUCUCUCAUUGACCGAUUCUCCAUCACAGCAUCUUCUGUUAAUGGUUCAAGCAGCACCAUAUCUCCUACCCCUACCAUAUCGUCCAGGAUGCUCCGUCCACCCCCUACAGGGGCAUCCUCUGUUGAUGUCAUGGCUGAAGGAUCGGACAAGAGGUGGAGUAUGGAGGGGCUAAAGUUCUCAUUGCUGACCCCAAGCGGCCCAUGUGAUUCAGGCUGUAGGUUGUAUUAUUAAUGGACCUCAUUUGUUGUAGUGCAAUGUUUUUCCAUUAAAGACCACGAGACAUUUGUUCUCUUGAGAAUCACA